rnacentral:rRNA from 1 species
GACGAACGCUGGCGGCGUGCUUAACACAUGCAAGUCGAACGAAGUGGCGAACGUGUGAGUAAUACGUAGGUAACCUGCCCUCCUUUUUGGGAUAAGCGUUGGAAACGGGGUCUAAUACCUAAUACAGGGGGAUGGGCUCGGGGCUUAUCAGCUUGUUGGUGGGGUGAUGGCCUACCAAGGCGGUGACGGGUAGCCGGCCUGAGCGGGCGCCCGGCGACAUUGGGACUGGGAAACGGCCUAUGGGACGAAGCGAGGGGGCAGUGGGGGAUAUGGCGGAAUGGGCGAGAGACUGAUGCAGCGUCGGCGCGUGGGGGAUGAGGGCUUUAGGGUUGUAAAGGUAUUUAGGUAUCGAACGGGUAGGUGGAGAAGAAGCGCCGGCUAACUACGUGCCAGCAGCCGCGGUAAUAC